rnacentral:rRNA from 1 species
CCUACGGGAGGCAGCAGUGGGGAAUUUUGGACAAUGGGCGCAAGCCUGAUCCAGCAAUGCCGCGUGAGUGAAGAAGGCCUUCGGGUUGUAAAGCUCUUUUGUCAGGGAAGAAACGGUGGGAGCUAAUAUCUCCCGCUAAUGACGGUACCUGAAGAAUAAGCACCGGCUAACUACGUGCCAGCAGCCGCGGUAAUACGUAGGGUGCAAGCGUUAAUCGGAAUUACUGGGCGUAAAGCGUGCGCAGGCGGUUUUGUAAGUCUGUCGUGAAAGCCCCGGGCUCAACCUGGGAAUUGCGAUGGAGACUGCAAGGCUUGAAUCUGGCAGAGGGGGGUAGAAUUCCACGUGUAGCAGUGAAAUGCGUAGAGAUGUGGAGGAACACCGAUGGCGAAGGCAGCCCCCUGGGUCAAGAUUGACGCUCAUGCACGAAAGCGUGGGGAGCAAACAGGAUUAGAUACCCUGGUAGUCCACGCCCUAAACGAUGUCUACUAGUUGUCGGGUUUUAAUUAACUUGGUAACGCAGCUAACGCGUGAAGUAGACCGCCUGGGGAGUACGGUCGCAAGNUUAAAACUCAAAUGAAUUGACGGCUGAGAGNGCGAGACGACGACGAGGGAGGAGG